rnacentral:lncRNA from 1 species
UUAACCUGAAUAGGGUACUGUCCACUUACAAGGCGUACGGUUCACUUCUUUCAACAAUCUAGAUUGAGGAUGAGUUAUACAAGUUGCCACGUCUCACCUAAAGACCUCUUUAAGAAUAAGUAAGUGGAACAUCAUUGGAACCAGCUUCAUAGGUAGCGGCCUUAUAUAGCUGUAUAACACGGCCAGUCUCAUUCAUUCGCGCAUCUUUAAACUCACAACAGCUUCUAAGAUGAACAUCCGUCAGAUUUACUUUUUUGUCUCCGUUGCGUUGAUCUUCCUAAUGGUGUAUUCGACAACGCCGGUAAAUAGUCAACAAGAGGCUUACGUCGAUAAGUGGGAGCCCUUCGACAUCCAAAAUAGUCCACAUGUUGAUCGUUUUGAAUCAAACUACAACAAAUUUGGUGUGUCUCCAGAAUCUCAAGUUGGUACCAUUCACGAAUUUAUUGCCCAGAGCCCAGCAGCCCGCAAAAUGGUCAAGUCGCACAAGCGAUUUUACCGUGUUUGAUGGCUCAUCAUCAGUUUUAUCUUGAAAGGAGCGUCGUGUUAUAUGCUAUAUUUUUUUUAUUGUUAAUACUCCACUGCUAUUAUAACUUGCUAUGUUAUUUCUGAGUAUAAAAACGAAAUUGUUGAAAGCGUUUUUGCUGUGUCUGACGGUUUCUGAUAGUUAUUUUUAUUAUGACAAAUGUAUCAACAUUUUUUGGCUCAAGAAAUAGAAACUUAGGAAUUAA